rnacentral:rRNA from 1 species
ACUCCUACGGGAGGCAGCAGUAGGGAAUCUUCGGCAAUGGACGAAAGUCUGACCGAGCAACGCCGCGUGAGUGAAGAAGGUUUUCGGAUCGUAAAACUCUGUUGUUAGAGAAGAACAAGGAUGAGAGUAGAACGUUCAUCCCUUGACGGUAUUUAACCAGAAAGCCACGGCUAACUACGUGCCAGCAGCCGCGGUAAU